AUACCCAGCUCCCCACCACCCAUCUCGUCGACUUUGACCCGCCGGACCUUCCGCCAACGACGCCAUAUCCGGCGAGCUUCACCUUCACACACACACAGCCACGCACAUGAACGUAGUGAGGGAACGAGCAUAAGGCAGGUUUGAGAUUUCAAAAAGUCGAAAAACAGUACAAAAAAUGUUUCGUCUUCCUCGUCCUUGGUUUGAUUCUUAGUUUUUGAAACAUGGAUGUUUAGCUGAAGUCUGGAGUUGUUUGUGAGUUUGAGUCAUGUGGAAGUUGCCGUACGUUGGUUUCGGUCUUUAGUUAUCGCUGUCCAUUUUUUGUCCGUCGAGCUCGAGCUGCUAAAACCCAACGUUGUUGUAAAUGUGAGUUUUCUUGUCUAUGUUCUCUUAGAGGUCUAAAUGCCGCCUUUAAUGCCUCUUUCGGUCUUCCUCUAUAUGGGUGUUAUGAAGUAAUUUGCUUCUGUUUGUAUGUUUCCAUAUUAAUUAGAAGUGUACAUUUCAUUUAGAGUUUUGGUUGAAUGUCUCUUAUGUUUGUUCAAGUCAUGGAAAAUGUUCAUAUUUCCUUUUUAACAGUGUUGAUUUGGAAAUCAGUUUAGGGUGGUUUCUUGCAAUUUUUUUUUAUUUUAUUGAAUCAUUAAUAUGAGUAUGAUCCAGAAUAAAUUGGGACUCCUUACGUACUUUAAUUAAUUAGUCUUGAAUCCUUGUAAAAAAUGGAAUUGAGGUGUGCCGCGCCAAGCAAAUCUUAAAAUGCAUGGCCCUCUACUAAUUUCUUAUGAUUUAGAUAUAAAAUAACAAAUGUUCGUAGUUUGCUUUAGGCCCGUUUAAUAUACCACCGUGAUCGUGAACACGUUCGCAUGACAUGAUUACGGUUUCUAAAAAUAAAAUCGGAGUAUGCGUUUGCGCAACUUCGGCUAAACUUUCUUAAUAAUAAUAAUGCGUUAUUAAUUGUGGACAUGUUCGCAUGACAUGAUUUUGACACGCCAAACAGACAGGUACACGUACGCGUGACCCGUUUCAAGAUAAUUUUCUUAAUUUAAAAGCGGUAAAAGGUAAAUGCACAUAGGUUCUAAAAUCAGUAAUUAAAUAAUUUUAGUAAGCCAAGUAUGAUCAAAGCGACCGUGUUAGAACCACAGAACUCGGGAGUGCCUAACACCUUCUCCCGGGUUUACAGAAUUCCUUACUCGGAUUUUCGGUUCGCGGAUUGUUAAACAGAGUCAAUCUUUCCUCGAUUCGGGAUUCAAUCGGUGACUUGGGACACCGUAAAUCUCCCAAGUGGUGACUCUGAAUCUUUAAUAAAUAAAUCCCAUUUCGAUUGUCCUUUAAUUAGAAAAACUCCCUUUCAUACUCCCUUUGCAGGGGUGUAGUAAAAAGGAGGUGUGACAGAAGUUCUUGAGUCUUUUUCUUGUCUUCAGGUAGUAUUCCAUACUGCAAAAAAUUGAUAAUCUCUUUUCUCCAAUCCCAAGUUAGAUUAUUGUAAUUUACCUUGUUUUUGUCUUUGCCGAGCACUGAAUGAAACAAAUGUAUCACGAAAGCGUUUUCUUCAUUUGUUACUUCCGCAGCGGAUGCAAGAUUAGCUAGAGCAUCUGCCUCAACAUUUUUUCCCUUGGAAUCUGCAUGACUUUCCAAGUUUGAAAUUGCCUGACCAAAUCUCGUGCCUUUUCCAGGUAUUGUUGCAUCCUUGCUUCUCUAGCUGUAUACGUCCCAUGCAUUUGGUUAACCACGAGUUGCGAAUUGCUUUUGAUUAUAACCUGCUCUAUUCUGAGCUCUCGCGCCAAUUCCAAACCUGCAAUCACAGCUUCAUAUUCUUCCUCAUUAUUAGUGAUUGGAUGACACUUUAUUGCUUGUCGUAUGGUUUCACGCGCAGGUGAUACCAGGACAAUACCUAGACCUGUACCUUUUACAUUUGAUGAACCGUUAGUAAAUAAAGUCCAAGU
rnacentral:lncRNA from 1 species